CAUCUGUCAGUCUGUGUGUUAUUCCACAAACUUCUGCUUUGACCUGCAGACCAAACACACACUCCUGUCAGUAACUGCCUGUGAAGAUUUCAUGAAACAAUGGCAGAACAAAACGCCAGCAUCAACGGAUCAAGUGGAGGAGAUUAUGAACAUGAAUUUUGGCAUCAGAUGUGGGAAUAUGCUGAUAAAUAUGUUGAUGCACACCCAAUAAUUAUCAUGAUAAUUUCAGCCAUUACCUGGACCAUUGCCGCCAUUGAGAUUCCAGUCAUGAUCUUAA